UUAAGAUUUCCCACUGUUCUCAAAUUUCAAAUUUUUCAUCCUUUGCCUCCAUCAUCGCCCACUCCAAAUCCCUAAUCGAUAUUCUCUCUCCGCUCGGUUCCUAUCCACAUCCCCUAACCGGAUAGUCGAGUCCUCCUAUCACUUCCAUCACCGAUGAAUCGCGACUUAGUAACCGACUACCCACCACUACACCACCAUACAACCCAUCAUUAUUGUUGGAAUCAUUGUCGCUCAAAUGCUCACUAGAGCCCUGGUAAAGUUUGUUUUUUCUCUUAAAUAACCCUGCUUAGCUUCUACUAUCAAUCAUGUUCCAAUCGAUCUCUUUGUAAGUGUGUAUACGUUACGAAUAGUUCCAUUUGUUUCUGUUGGUCAUAUUUGGUUUGCACACCCUAUGUUUUCUAUUUAUUUUGUAUGUUUGAGGGUUAAUGUUUUCUGUGAUAUUGUUUAUAAGUGUAAGGUUUGAAGUUGCACACCAACUGCUCGAUUAAAUGCUUCAUCCAAGCUCACAUUUAUGCCAUAUGCCUUUUUAUGAGAUAAGUGAAUCUCUGAUAUCUUGUUUUUCACUUGUACUUUUGAUUUGCAGGUUGUGAAGACUUGAUAAAACGGAGAUACCUUUUAAAACUGAAUUAGAAUUAUGGUUUACAGUCAAUCAUUUAUAUUUUUUUUUGCUUGUUAAUUUUUUAGCUAGUUUUGGUUGUUUUUAACGUCCCUGUUAUUAAUAAUCAUUUUGACCAAUUUGAACAAUUUUCUUUUGAGGGGCUAAAGUUUAUGAUCUAGCCGGUAAUAAUUACAUGUUGCUGCUUAUAAAUUAUAACUAAUUCAGCUUAAUCACUUUUAUAAUACAUCAAGGGAAGCUGCUUAAAUAAUUUUCUUAUGUAACUUUGUGAGAGUUAAGAAGUGCCAAAUAUUUUGAGAUCAUUGUGGAUCAUAGAAAGUGUUAUUAACAAUCUUGUUUGUUGAAUAUUUAACAAAUUGUUAAUGUUUACAUUUGCAGUGCUUUUGCGGUUGAAUAUAUACAACUAUUUACUUUGAGUAAUUUACUCGAGCCCAGCUCAAAACAAGCCGAGCUUGAGCCUCAAAACAAGCUUGUUUAGUAAUUGAGCCCUGAACCUGAGCUUCGCUUAUCGAGCUUGAGCCGAUUAAAGCUUGAGCUUAAAAAAUCACCUACGUGCCAAGCUCGAGCUUUAGAAACAAAGCUCGAAUUGAGCCUGGGCUUUCAUAAGUUAAGUUAAGCGAGCCUAUUGAGCUCGGGCUUGACUCGGCUCGUUCACAACACUAAGUAAACUUCAUGAAUAGAUUUUUUAACUGGUUGGUACUGUACUCUUGCUUCAUCAAAAUAGCUACCAUGGAGAUUCUAACUGAGGUUGACAAAAAAAAGGAAAGUUUGGAACCCGAAACCACAAAGAGAACAUCAAAUCAAAUCUAUAUGGUUGGGCAUCAAAGGUGUUAGAAACUCAUGUAGAGGGCUACACAAACGCAAAGAUCAAGGUUACAAUCUGGUUUUAAACUUAAAAGAAGCAAUGUUUGGUAUUGAAAAAGAUAUCAAAGUAACUUGUCUUGAGAGUCGUGGACGUUGCAACGAGUCUUGUGCCAAACCUAGGACUAGUGCACCCAAACGCACAACAUGUGGUGAUCAAAGUCAAAUUGUCUCCUUUGCUCUAUUUAUGGAAUUUUAGCUCCCUGUGUUUGUAGAAUUUAUACAUUGUUGUAAAUUUUUUUGGAAUAUAAAAAAUGUAAAAUAUGUUUAGCAAUGUUUUUGUAAUAGAUUGGGUUCUGUUCAUUUUGUAGUAA